rnacentral:misc_RNA from 1 species
ACAAAACUCAAAGUAUAUUUUGAUCAGAUAGAGGUAUAUAUGUAUUACGAUGAAGAUAAACUUCUUGCCACAUCCUUUGCCACCCCCUUUCUCUUGGAAACCAAACAAAGUACCGUAAUGCAAGCCAAGUUAGCGUCGAAUAACUCAGAUCACAGCCAAGCCGGUGUGGGGAGCUGGGUGGUGGAGAGAAUGGCAGAGGAUAGGAACAGCAGCUCCGGCAAGCUGACUUUUAAUCUGAGGAUUGCUCUUUGGACUACGUUUAAAUCAGGUUCAUGGUGGGCUAGGCACGUUACUAUAAGAGUUUAUUGUGAAAAUUUGGAGAUUGGCUUUGAGGGUGAAACAGGUAAUGGAAAAUUAA